ACGGUCCUAAGGUAGCGAAAUUCCUUGUCGGGUAAGUUCCGACCUGCACGAAUGGCGUAAUGAUGGCCAGGCUGUCUCCACCCGAGACUCAGUGAAAUUGAACUCGCUGUGAAGAUGCAGUGUACCCGCGGCAAGACGGAAAGACCCCGUGAACCUUUACUAUAGCUUGACACUGAACAUUGAGCCUUGAUGUGUAGGAUAGGUGGGAGGCUUUGAAGUGUGGACGCCAGUCUGCAUGGAGCCGACCUUGAAAUACCACCCUUUAAUGUUUGAUGUUCUAACGUUGACCCGUAAUCCGGGUUGCGGACAGUGUCUGGUGGGUAGUUUGACUGGGGCGGUCUCCUCCUAAAGAGUAACGGAGGAGCACGAAGGUUGGCUAAUCCUGGUCGGACAUCAGGAGGUUAGUGCAAUGGCAUAAGCCAGCUUGACUGCGAGCGUGACGGCGCGAGCAGGUGCGAAAGCAGGUCAUAGUGAUCCGGUGGUUCUGAAUGGAAGGGCCAUCGCUCAACGGAUAAAAGGUACUCCGGGGAUAACAGGCUGAUACCGCCCAAGAGUUCAUAUCGACGGCGGUGUUUGGCACCUCGAUGUCGGCUCAUCACAUCCUGGGGCUGAAGUAGGUCCCAAGGGUAUGGCUGUUCGCCAUUUAAAGUGGUACGCGAGCUGGGUUUAGAACGUCGUGAGACAGUUCGGUCCCUAUCUGCCGUGGGCGCUGGAGAAUUGAGGGGGGCUGCUCCUAGUACGAGAGGACCGGAGUGGACGCAUCACUGGUGUUCGGGUUGUCAUGCCAAUGGCACUGCCCGGUAGCUAAAUGCGGAAGAGAUAAGUGCUGAAAGCAUCUAAGCACGAAACUUGCCCCGAGAUGAGUUCUCCCUGACUCCUUGAGAGUCCUGAAGGAACGUUGAAGACGACGACGUUGAUAGGCCGGGUGUGUAAGCGCAGCGAUGCGUUGAGCUAACCGGUACUAAUGAACCGUGAGGCUUAACCUU
rnacentral:rRNA from 1 species